AAGGCUGAGCUGUAAAGCGCUUGACUUCUGAACCGGAGUCCCGGGUUCGAAUCCCGGU
rnacentral:tRNA from 1 species